UUCGAAAUCUAGGGUUUUGCUCAUCACUGGUCCAAUAGCAGGCCCAGGACGAAACGCUCCCUUACUUUUCUCCUCUUUCGCUCUCCCUCCACAAGAAACAAUCUACCAAUGAACCUACUAAAUUGUACAACAGUCACAGGUUUCCGAAGACCAGUUAAAAAAUAACUAACAUCAUCCCUUGAAGGAGCCAAAAAACGAACGAUCUACAAAAAGGCAAAACAGUAGAGGAUCCGAGGAUCCAAGACGAAAUUGUACCCCGACCGUACGGACUAAUGCAGCAGGUACUGUGACACUCGUUGGGAAACAGAAACUCUUUGGGUAACUAUAGCCAUGAAUUAUAGCAGAUCCAUGAUACCAAUCAGACGACGAACAGAUAAAAUCUUACACUUCGAAUGGAAGCAAACUCUCAAACUGUUAAAUUAGAGCAUAAAGGAAAUUAAGAUGAAAUGAAACAAAAAUUAUAAUCGUCGCAGACUCUGGUGCGUGUUAAAAGAACCUAAUAAAAUAAAUAAAAAAUAAGUAGUGAACCUACAUAAGGAUACAUACAUAAGAACCAAAAGGAUAAAUGGAUGGAAACGAAUGCUGUAUCAAUUAGAGUAUAAUAAAACUUCGAGUAUUUUCGAAGACACUCUGUAAGAGGCGCGUGACUAUCCCCACCAUUUUUUUCAGAUUAAUUGCUUGGAAGAAUCCUUGGGGGUAGGGUACCA